AUUGAACGCUGGCGGCAGGCCUAACACAUGCAAGUCGAGCGGAUGAAGGGAGCUUGCUCCUGGAUUCAGCGGCGGACGGGUGAGUAAUGCCUAGGAAUCUGCCUGGUAGUGGGGGAUAACGUCCGGAAACGGGCGCUAAUACCGCAUACGUCCUGAGGGAGAAAGUGGGGGAUCUUCGGACCUCACGCUAUCAGAUGAGCCUAGGUCGGAUUAGCUAGUUGGUGGGGUAAAGGCCUACCAAGGCGAGGAUCCGUAACUGGUCUGAGAGGAUGAUCAGUCACACUGGAACUGAGACACGGUCCAGACUCCUACGGGAGGCAGCAGUGGGGAAUAUUGGACAAUGGGCGAAAGCCUGAUCCAGCCAUGCCGAGUGUGUGAAGAAGGUCUUCGGAUUGUAAAGCACUUUAAGUUGGGAGGAAGGGCAGUAAGUUAAUACCUUGCUGUUUUGACGUUACCAACAGAAUAAGCACCGGCUAACUUCGUG
rnacentral:rRNA from 1 species